rnacentral:misc_RNA from 2 species
UCGUAACAAGGUCUCCGUUGGUGAACCAGCGGAGGGAUCAUUACCGAGUUUACAACUCCCAAACCCAAUGUGAACCAUACCAAACUGUUGCCUCGGCGGGGUCACGCCCCGGGUGCGUCGCAGCCCCGGAACCAGGCGCCCGCCGGAGGGACCAACCAAACUCUUUCUGUAGUCCCCUCGCGGACGUUAUUUCUUACAGCUCUGAGCAAAAAUUCAAAAUGAAUCAAAACUUUCAACAACGGAUCUCUUGGUUCUGGCAUCGAUGAAGAACGCAGCGAAAUGCGAUAAGUAAUGUGAAUUGCAGAAUUCAGUGAAUCAUCGAAUCUUUGAACGCACAUUGCGCCCGCCAGUAUUCUGGCGGGCAUGCCUGUCCGAGCGUCAUUUCAACCCUCGAACCCCUCCGGGGGUCCGGCGUUGGGGAUCGGGAACCCCUAAGACGGGAUCCCGGCCCCGAAAUACAGUGGCGGUCUCGCCGCAGCCUCUCAUGCGCAGUAGUUUGCACAACUCGCACCGGGAGCGCGGCGCGUCCACGUCCGUAAAACACCCAACUUCUGAAAUGUUGACCUCGGAUCAGGUAGGAAUACCCGCUGAACUUAAGCAUAUCAAUAA